rnacentral:rRNA from 1 species
GACGAACGCUGGCGGCGUGCUUAACACAUGCAAGUCGAACGGAAGCGCCUGCUAUGCCUUGUGUAUUUCGGGUCUUCGAGUGACCGAGGGGUGAGUACCUCAACAGUGAUCUCCACGCAACUUGGGUAUAAGUGGGGACAACUGGGUCUAAUUCCCGAGAGGACUGCAGGGUGUUGCCAGUGGUGGAAAACGAGUCUCUUGUGGAUGAGGUAGAGCUCGCGGCUUAUCAGCUAGUUGGUGGGGUAAUGGCCUACCAAGGCGACGAUCGGUGGCCGGUCUGGGAGGAUGAACGGCCAAAUUGGAACUGGGACACGGGCCAGACCCCUACGGGAGGCAGCAGUGGGGAAUCUUCAGCAAUGGGCGAAAGGCUGACGGAGGAACGACGCGUGAGUGAAGACGGACUUCGGGUUGUAAAGCUCUGUCAUACGGGAAGAAUAAUCUUGUGGUUAAUACCCAUGAGAAGUGACGGUACCGUAAGAGAAAGCCACGGCUAACUACGUG